rnacentral:lncRNA from 1 species
CUCGCUGUUACUUUCAUCAUCUCCCUUUAUUAUCCCCUCAGUACCUGUCUCUAUAUGAGUAUUAUUCAAUAACAGAUCAUGGGAUGCCUAUAUAUAACAUUUGGAUUCCCCUGCUAAUACUUUACCAGUAAGUGCAGCUUGUAGCAUCCCUAUACAGGUAUGUCGCUACAUGUAGACAAUAAAAAAAUAAAAUAGUCUAUUAGUUUUAUUUUUUGUAAAUUUUUAAUACAUAUUAAGACAAUAAACUAACAAAAUACCAAAAAACAACUAUAGUUAUACCAAUCUCCUAUCGUCAUCAUCGCUCGUAGAGCAUUGUACAUAUGAUUGCGACUGUGACGGCGUACAUGGGGGUAUUUGUAAUUCUAUGUGUAAACAUGUUAUACCAGGCCAUGUACUCUUUUGUAGGUACUCCACCAAAUUUAUCCACAGCUGUUGUGACAAUAUUACGUUCUCGUUGUUGUCAAUCGUUUAUCUGCGUGCUCAACUCUUCAGUCCAAUUUGUGGGAUGUAUACCGACUUUCUCCCUCCUAUCCCACGUGGGAGGCACAACAGGAAUUCGUUGCACCUCCCCAAAUUGUCGUAGCAUGUGAUCAGACAUAUAGUACUUUGCAAUGUUGAAGCUUAUUAGGCAUGAUCCGCACAACGCACUUUAUUUUCUGACCAGAUCUAAUGGCCUAUACUCCUCAUCAUGAGACUCCUAAUAUGGUUGUCAGUUCACUUACAAAAAAAACAUGGCGUAAUGAAUACUUAUUCGUAUUUAAUCUUAGAUAGAUUAUCUAUAGUUAUAUAACCACACAAGCAAACCACUAACCAUAUCAAAUGAGAUGUCAUCAAAUGAGAUGCUUUUGUGACAUGAUUGUUUCUUUCAAAGACAAGCUCUGGGCAUUAUUGGGCUGAUCAAUGUAGGCUUGGUGCCUAGAGUUAAAAAAUGCUUAUAGAUCCAGCAUUGCACCAAAAAUAGUAAGAAACAAAAAGUAAGAAGGCAAAGAAGUUGUAAAUAUGUAAAUAUAUAUUAUAAAGAUAGUGGAAAAUACCUAUAAUAAGGUCAUUGACCCACUAAAAUGUGUUUUCCCGCUCGCGACCUAUGAUAAGGAACGAUACAAGAAGGCAAGCACCGCAAUACCCCAUGUAUAUUGUCCUGCAUCAUUAAAAUUUUGAAACAAUUGCAAGUACAUUGCAAGCGUGGAUCAUUUAUAUGAGUCGGCAAAUAUAGGUGUACCGACAAAAUAAAGGAGAUACGCUCGAGUAUGUUGCAUGAGGUGUACUUUGGUGGCAUUUUUUAGUAAUUUCCUGAAUCUCGUACUGGGCAAGUGUUGUAGUCCACGUUUCAGCUUUCAAUAUGCGAGUUGCCAUUAGUUUCAUGAUUAGUCUCCUAAUCAAAUCAACGUACUGGAGAAUUGGUAUGUAUCGUGCUUCUAGAAUCCACGAGUUAUAUAACUCAGCCACAUUGGUUGUUACUUGGGUAUAUCACCUACCACUAAAAAGUGAUGUGGCCCAACGGUCUGGCGAUGCUUCCAUGAACCACUUGAAUAAGUCUUUAGAAAUUGAUCUAAUCUCACUCGUCUUCUUAAAAUACUAUUGCGGCAUGUCUGCUCUACACGCUCCGAUGAAGGAUAUUACAACUUCCUUCUUAACAUCAUUAUGUAUGUGUUGUACUUCCUUCUUGAAAUUCUCCAAUAAAUGAUACUCAAAUAAUACAUGAUGUGUAUUCUCAAAUACUUGACAGACAAUAUAAACUAGACCAGGAUGUCUAUUUGAUAAAAAAAUGAAUUCUCAAUCAGUCACAAUAGCAAUCUUUAAAGAUUCUAUAAACCAUAACCAGUUAUCGGUACUUUCGGCAUCCAUAAUAGAUAAUGCAAUAUGAAACAUUCGUCCUUCCCCAUCGAGUGAGUUAGCAGCAAGCAGAAUCCUAAGGUAUCGUGCCUUCAGUAAUGUCCCAUCGAGAAAUAGAAGUGGACGACAUCCACUUUUGAAGCCAUGUAUUAAGACAUAAAAGCUUAAGAACAAUCGACGAAAUCAACCAUCAUUUUGUCAUACUUGUCAUGUUGCAUAACUAUCAAGAUUUGUCUCCAUCACACGGUUUACAUAUGCAGGUAACUGGUUGUAUAUAUCCUCUUGCGAUCCAUGUAUGUCUUUGGUGGCCAUUUCUAUCUCUCGUCAAGCCUUGCAAUAGGGUAAUUCUAACCCAUAAUCUCGAGACAAAUCAUCAAUUAAUUUAUCAUCGUUUAAGGAUGCAACAAAUUUUUAGGACGCUCUUCUUUGUACAUCAUUGCUUGUCCCAAUAUUACAUGAGUGUUCUUUUUUCCAUGUUUUGAUGCUAAAAAUAUUUGUCCUGCCAAACUUCGAUGCAUAUAUGUCCCAUUUGCAUCCAUCACCCUUGCCUUCGCCCUUAUGCGAUACGCCUCAUUUUUAACGUGACGGUAUCCAAAAUAGUGUGCUAUAGAAAACUUGCUAAGGGUUUCUUGAAAAUCAUCUAGAGAUUCAAACCGUUGCCUUAUCCCGGUAAGUGCAUCAUCCCAUGAACUAAAAAACCUUGGUGCAUUACUUUGUUCGGAACUAGAGACCAAAAAAAUUAGAGGAUUAGGGGGUCUAACAUCUUCAAUUGCCCUGGUAUUACGUGAAGUACUUCCACCCCUAUAUUCACUCCCAUCAAAUACAUAGACAAACAUAUUAUUCUCGCCUUCAUAUAUAUUCAGCAUCCUCUCAAUAUCAUCAUCAAUGAAUAGGUUCACAAUAAAUCUUCUAUUUAUCGGGAUAGAAUACCCCAAUGACAUCAAGUGUAUGUCAAGUGAGAAACUCUCUUCUACGUGUUUUCACGUGUCAUCUAACCUAGUACUACCAUUAGUAAAAAAUGUAUAUGCAUCAUCCCAAUAUAAUCUAAAGUCUCAUCGACCCUUGAUCAAAGUUCUCCACAAAAAAUGCAAUAAACCAAUCUGCUAUCACCCAUUUUCUUUUGUCUUGCAUAAGAUUUGUAAUAACUUACCUUCCACAUGUUGCAUUACAACGUUUUAAUAAUGGCUUUGAACUUGCCCAAGUUUGGUAGGCUCAAGCUAGAAUUUUUUAAAAAAAACUACUACUAAAUUUUAACAAGAGCUAGGAAUAUUAUUGGGAGGUAUAUAAACUACAUAAGUAUUUCUAACAAGGAUUGUCUUAAUAUUGUAAUCUUAAUGAUUUUACCCAGUUAAUGUCACGAUAUUUUAGUAAAUGAUGGAAACAGUCUUGAAAUAAAGAGCCUCUCAAGACUACCCAACUUUUAAGAUGAAUAUGCAAUUCAAUAUUUAUACGAUUAAAAGACUAAUUUAUAUUCAAGAAUGAGGACAUAAGCCCCAUUGUCUUUCACACUAGCAUAAUGCCGUUCUUUUGCAAACUGAAACAAAAACUAAUGAGUUUGUAGACGUAAACAUAUACCGCUAAUAAAUGAUUCGAAUGCAUUUAAAAUUGGAGAAAAACUUCAUCCUAAAGUUCUAGUAAAUAAACAAUACCAUUUCUCUAAGCUACAGUUCAACCUAACAAUAUCGAUGAACACAAUAUAUACAACUAGCAAUAUAGACCAUCCUAAAGUCUGUUUUUUGGGGGGGGUUUUUAAAGAGCUAUUACUAAAGUUGACAAGAGCUAGGCAUUUUUUUUUUUUAAUAACUAAAUUUUAACAAGAGAAAGAUGAUGGAUCAUCAAAUAAGAAACAAUCGAUGCAAAAAAAACCAACAGAAAAUAAAUACAGCAAAACAAACUCAAAAUUUACUACCACCAAGAACAUUCAAGCCCUAAAAUGUCAAUAGAUAAAAAAUAACAAACUUCAUAAAACAUUUAAAAAAAAAACUUCAAUAAAUCUUAAUCCAUAAGCAAUCCAUCCUUUCAUUGUCAAUGACAGAUCAAAUACAAUCAAUUUUGACGAACAAUAACCCAAAAACAGAUUUAAGCGAUUUUCUUAAAUAAAUAUGCUAUAUAUUUUGUAUGAAAAUUAAAUAAAAAAAUAUUUCAUACUUUUGAUGGGGCUGAUUUGGGGCCGAGAGAUAAGCUAAAAAUCGAGCUCGAGCUUUGGGGGUUUGGGCUGGGGCGGAGAAAUUGAGACCCAGGCUAAUUCACAGAGAGAAUGAGAGAUCAGUCGUGGUAUCCUUGUAGAGAGAGAGGGAGAAAGCUUAGGCCUUCACAGAGAGAAAGACCAUGGUUUAUUGGGCCAAAAGUCCUUUGAAGAGAGAGAGAGGGAGAGAGCUUGAGCAGGGAGAGAGAGCGUGAGACAGGGAGGGAGCUCGGGUGAGAGAGAGAGGGAGUGAGCUCAGAUUGUAGGGUGAGAGAACGAGAGAGAAGGAGACAACAUGAG